rnacentral:lncRNA from 1 species
GGAGCUGGAGUUCAUCGGAAGUUCUACAGUGCUUGCGCCAGAAAAACGUCGGUGCCUCGGUACCUUUGAGACGAAGGAGCGUUGGCCAAGUCUUUUUGAAAGGCUAUGCGGAUUCUGGAGGCAUCCCUACAUCAAGCAGGAACCUGCUGCACUGCUGGAAGCUGGACAGCACGACAAUAAAGCACGUGAUCUGUGUGCUUUCUCAAAGGUAGACAUCGGCGACGGUGUAUAUGUUGAAAAGUGCCUGCUGAAGAGGCUGCGCCUGGAUGCUAACAACUCAGGCUUUCAGUUCGCGGGGGGCCUCCUUAACGCUCCUUUUACAAAAGAAGAGGUUGAAGGGAGGCGCUACACAUGGAUGCGCAGCGAUUGUUUGUGACAUCGUCACUGCUGGCAGGCCUGGCCUGCCUUUUCGCUUCGUUCUGGGUCUUCCACGUUAUCUACUCGAAAAGGCCCACAGGGUUUUGACAUUUAUUGAGCACUGCUUUCUGGAUUUGAGCUACACAAAGCUGCAGGUGAAAGCAUUGGAUUUAGUCAAUA